AAAAAAAAAAGCCAAAAUUAAAAGGUUUUGUAAAAAUUGAAAAAUGUGAAAAAAUUAGAUGUUUUUUAGUCAAUAGGCCUUAAUGCAAUGAAAUAUAGCAAGUAGCACAAGGAAUACCUUCAGUUUGGCCAGACAAAAAACUAUUGUCCAUAAAAUUGUGAUAGUGGGAGACUCCAAGAUUGAAGGUGAGAAGUAAAGUGGAAGGUUGUGUAUUUACUAAAUCAUAGUAGAAAAGAAAGUGAACCUUUGUGCAAGCCAUUACCUUUGUUUUGUUGCUCAUGCUUGCUAGAAGAAAAUUUUGUACAUGCUAGUCUUGAUAAUCAAGACAAGAGCAGAUCUUUAUUCUGCCUGAAUUUUUUUUUAUGCUUUUCUGGCUUCCUGGUUCUCUAGAACAAUGGAGGAUGCCUUGCUGAUUUACUUUUUGGUAAUUGUCUGCUACAUGUCUUCAAGACCCUUCAUAGAGUUUGCAACCCCAAUUUAUUAAGUGGUGGGGUGGUUAUUACCACCCCUAUUCAUGCAAGGAAGGCCACAUCCUUUUUUCCCUCCCUCUCUUGAACUGGUCAUGGUCUGGUUUUGGGCCGUGGCUUGGAAGGCCCUGAACUUCCACAUUAUGGGGCCAUUCCGAAAACUGUUCUGGCUUGAUGCAAUCCAACAGUUGAAAAUUUUCCUCUUUUUUCAAAGAAAGAAGUGGUUCAAACUGGACUAAUGUGCUGAACUAUUGGUUCUAGUCCAGUUCAAGCUUCAAGAUGAAUUCUGUCUGCUUUGGGCCCAUAGUUAUUA
rnacentral:misc_RNA from 1 species